AACUUUCAGCAACGGAUCUCUUGGCUCUCGCAUCGAUGAAGAACGCAGCGAAAUGCGAUAAGUAAUGUGAAUUGCAGAAUUCAGUGAAUCAUCGAAUCUUUGAACGCACCUUGCGCCCUUUGGCUAUUCUGAAGGGCAUGCCUGUUUGAGUAUCA
rnacentral:rRNA from 3 species